GAGCAAACAACUGGAGGAAAGAAACAUGUUCCAUAUCUUCUGACUGUUGCUAUCUGAUCGGUUCAGUGGCUUUAUGCUGCUUUUAAUCUGCAAAGGCCUUUAAUCACAUUUGCCUCCUCACAGCAAACUGUGAGGAUGCAUGGGAUGGAGUCGUCAAAAUAGAUGGAGAAGAUGGCGUUGGAUACAUGUCCAAGUUCUGUUCUGCAAUUAGGAAGACUAGAAAAAUUAGUUUAGAUCUAUAUGUCAUCUCAGGAUGUUGCAUUUUGUACCAGACAGAAGAUCCUGAAAUAGGGCAUCAAACUCAUUCAGAAGAUACAUAGCUAUUCUUUCUUGUCUUCCCUCUGCAAGGCCUAGCUUUAGAAUAAUCAAGCUUUGUGUGCUUGCUUUCUGAUGGAUUUCUUAUUCUCACCAAUGUAUUCAUGUAAUGGAUUUGAAUUACAAAAUAUACUUCUGUAGUGAGUCUUGCUGUGACAAAGGAACACCAGAAACGGUUGUGCUCUAAUCAGGAGACAGCAUCCAAAAUAGAAGAAACUGAGCUUUUUCGGUGGUGGUGUCUGCACUGUGGAAUGCCCUCUGCAAUGAAAUUUGCCAGGCUUACUCCACUGAGAUCAUCAGGAUAUGUGUAGAGAAAUCUUUAUUCCUCCAGUCUCUUUGAAAUUACUGUGGUUUCAUUUUUCAACAUGAAAUGUUACUGCUGUUAGUGUUUGUGUGUUUGUAUUCUGUGUUAUGAACUGUUUUAUGUUUUAUUAUGAUUCAUUCUAAGCUUCUCUAAGAGCACUUAUGGCUGAAAAAUGGCCUUUAAAUAUAAUUCUAGUACAAUUAAAAUCAAACCAUACCUUUA